AGGAAGUAUUACUUUACUGAGAGGGUAGUGGAUGCAUGGAAUAGCCUUCCAGCUGAAGUGGUAGAGGUUAACACAGUAAAGGAGUUUAAGCAUGCGUGGGAUAGGCAUAAGGCUAUCCUAACUAUAAGAUAAGACUAGGGACUAAUGAUAGUAUUUAGAAAAUUGGGCAGACUAGAUGGGCCGAAUGGUUCUUAUCUGCCGUCAC